UCUUCCCACUCUGUCUGAAUCUGAAGGAAAAUGGGUCAGAGUAUUUAGGGGAAACAAGGAGAGAGAAACUUAGAGAGAGAAACUUCUGCAACUCAAGAUCAACGAUCAUCUCUUUCGACGAUGGUGCUUCGAUUCUUCUCAGCGUUUCGAUUUUUCGAGUCUGAGGUUGUGGAAGACGAUUUCCCGAUCGUCACAUUCAUCAGAACAUCAGUGCCUUUAGUUGAGUUUAAUGGCUGCUUUUCUUGCAAUCGUUCGUCAAUCAUUCUAGGACGGUUGAUGAUGUGUCAGUUCCUGCUGAAAAUAAGUCCUGCAGAGAAGAGAUGUCAAUUUGAUUUUUUUAACGCAACAAAAACCAAUAACUUUUUUCAAGAGAGAUACAGCAGAUGACUACCAGUAGAAGAUAAGGAAGGGAAAAUAGUCUGCAAAGUUGGGUUUCCCAACUUCUUCCAUCAGGCCUCGUAUUGUCUCUCGAAAUUCACGAGCAAUUUCAGAAUUGGGAUCACCCAUAUCAACUGAAAAAAAAGGUAUUUGACAGCAAAUUGAGGGUAGUAGUGAAUGCUGCUUGGCCGAUGUUUACUGCUGUACCAUCAUCGCUGCUCUUCUCAACAAAGGAAAUAAGAUCAUUGAUCUUAUUUCUUCGAAGGCUUUGGCUAGCACCCAGUGUGCUUGACAUUAAUUCUUUUUAUUUCUUUUUUGGGUUGAAUUUUAGUGCCUUCUUUGAUUGUGUGGUGGUUUUUUUGGAUUGAAUUUCAGUGCCUUCUUUGAUUGUGUGGUGGUUUUUUUUUAGUUGAAUUUGAGUGAUUUAUCGUUUUUUUGGGUUGAUUUUUUAUACUGUUAGUAACAUUAUUGUCUAAUUUGUAACAGAAUUGUUGAACUAAAAGGUACAAUUCUUAUCUCCCCUUUUUCUUUCUUGUUCUAAUUGGUUCAAUUUUCAUCUAACCUUUAAUAUGAAUAGUGUAGACACUCAUUUGUGUCUCCCCAAAACCAAACCCAGUGAUGAGUACCUUUCACGUCGAAUCAUAAUCGAAUGAAGCGAAAGUGU